rnacentral:rRNA from 1 species
AGUUCGGAUUGUAGUCUGNAACCCGACUACAUGAAGCUGGAAUCGCUAGUAAUCGCGGAUCAGAAUGCCGCGGUGAAUACGUUCCCGGGUCUUGUACACACCGCCCGUCACACCAUGGGAGCCGGGAAUGCCCGAAGUCGGUGACCUAACCGAAAGGAAGGAGCUGCCGAAGGCGGGGCAGGUAACUGGGGUGAAGUCGUAACAAGGUAAC